CUUCAGCGACCCCAGCCACAACGGCCUGCCGGGAUCCCGGUCCUGCCCGUACGUGGCCAGCAGCGCCUGCGCCUC
rnacentral:antisense_RNA from 1 species